rnacentral:rRNA from 1 species
UACGGAGGGGGGCGAGCGUUAUUCGGAAUUAUUGGGCGUAAAGGGCGCGUAGGUGGCCCCUGUAAGUCAAAGGUGAAAUCCCUCGGCUCAACUGGGGAGGGUCACGCGAUACUGAUCGACUCGAAGGCAGGAGAGGGUAGUGGAAUUCCCCGGUGUAGUGGUGAAAUACGUAGAGAUUGGGAAGAACACCAGUGGCGAAGGCGGCUAUCUGGACGGUUUCUGACGCUAAGACGCGAAAGCGUGGGGAGCAAACAGG